UGGGGAAUAUUGGACAAUGGGCGAAAGCCUGAUCCAGCAAUGCCGCGUGAGUGAUGAAGGCCUUAGGGUUGUAAAGCUCUUUUACCCGGGAUGAUAAUGACAGUACCGGGAGAAUAAGCCCCGGCUAACUCCGUGCCAGCAGCCGCGGUAAUACGGAGGGGGCUAGCGUUGUUCGGAAUUACUGGGCGUAAAGCGUACGUAGGCGGCUUUGUAAGUUAGAGGUGAAAGCCCGGGGCUUAACCCCGGAAUUGCCUUUAAGACUGCAUCGCUUGAAUCAUGGAGAGGUGAGUGGAAUUCCGAGUGUAGAGGUGAAAUUCGUAGAUAUUCGGAAGAACACCAGUGGCGAAGGCGACUCACUGGACAUGUAUUGACGCUGAGGUACGAAAGCGUGGGGAGCAAACA
rnacentral:rRNA from 1 species